rnacentral:rRNA from 1 species
GAUGAACGCUGGCGGCGUGCCUAACUCAUGCAAGUCGAACGAAGCAAUUAAGAUGAAGUUUUCGGAUGGAAUCUUGAUUGACUGAGUGGCGGACGGGUGAGUAACGCGUGGAUAACCUGCCUCACACUGGGGGAUAACAGUUAAAAAUGACUGCUAAUACCGCAUAAGCGCACAGUGCCGCAUGGCAGUGUGUGAAAAACUCCGGUGGUGUGAGAUGGAUCCGCGUCUGAUUAGCCAGUUGGCGGGGUAACGGCCCACCAAAGCGACGAUCAGUAGCCGACCUGAGAGGGUGACCGGCCACAUUGGGACUGAGACACGGCCCAAACUCCUACGGGAGGCAGCAGUGGGGAAUAUUGCACAAUGGGCGAAAGCCUGAUGCAGCGACGCCGCGUGAGUGAAGAAGUAUUUCGGUAUGUAAAGCUCUAUCAGCAGGGAAGAAAAUGACGGUACCUGACUAAGAAGCCCCGGCUAACUACGUGCCAGCAGCCGCGGUAAUACGUAGGGGGCAAGCGUUAUCCGGAUUUACUGGGUGUAAAGGGAGCGUAGACGGCGAAGCAAGUCUGAAGUGAAAACCCAGGGCUCAACCCUGGGACUGCUUUGGAAACUGUUUUGCUAGAGUGUCGGAGAGGUAAGUGGAAUUCCUAGUGUAGCGGUGAAAUGCGUAGAUAUUAGGAGGAACACCAGUGGCGAAGGCGGCUUACUGGACGAUAACUGACGUUGAGGCUCGAAAGCGUGGGGAGCAAACAGGAUUAGAUACCCUGGUAGUCCACGCCGUAAACGAUGAAUGCUAGGUGUUGGGGGGCAAAGCCCUUCGGUGCCGCCGCAAACGCAGUAAGCAUUCCACCUGGGGAGUACGUUCGCAAGAAUGAAACUCAAAGGAAUUGACGAGGACCCGCACAAGCGGUGGAGCAUGUGGUUUAAUACGAAGCAACGCGAAGAACCUUACCAAGUCUUGACAUCCCCCUGACGGGCCGGUAACGCGGCCUUUCCUUCGGGACAGGGGAGACAGGUGGUGCAUGGUUGUCGUCAGCUUGUGUCGUGAGAUGUUGGGUUAAGUCCCGCAACGAGCGCAACCCUUAUCCUUAGUAGCCAGCAGGUAGAGCCGGGCACUCUAGGGAGACUGCCAGGGAUAACCUGGAGGAAGGUGGGGAUGACGUCAAAUCAUCAUGCCCCUUAUGAUUUGGGCUACACACGUGCUACAAUGGCGUAAACAAAGGGAAGCGAGACAGUGAUGUGGAGCAAAUCCCAAAAAUAACGUCCCAGUUCGGACUGUAGUCUGCAACCCGACUACACGAAGCUGGAAUCGCUAGUAAUCGCGAAUCAGAAUGUCGCGGUGAAUACGUUCCCGGGUCUUGUACUCACCGCCCGU